AGUGGGACAGUUGGGUCAAAUGGUGUUCCAUUCCUAGCUUUUUGAAGAAUCUCCAUACUGCUUUCCAGAGUGAUUGUAUCAAUUUGCAGUCCCACCAGCAAU
rnacentral:pre_miRNA from 1 species